AUGCCCCAAAACCUUUCCAGAAAAUUCUUCUGGUUACUGCUACUGGAUAGACUAAACACCAAAGACUUGUUGAUAAGAAAAAAAAUCUGUAAAGAGGAGAAUAAAUGUGUUUUAUGUGAGGAGGAACCCAAUGAAUACCUGCAUCAUCUCUUUUUCAACUGUGACUUCAGUCAGAACUUCUGGAUGGCAUUAAGCAUGGAAUGGAACAUAGAUCUAAAUACCAUGGAGAUGAUGAUAGAAGCUAAGAACACAACCAACAUGGUAUGUUUCAAGGAAUGCUUAAUGGAUGGAUGUUGGAGCAUCUAGAAACAUAGAAAUGCUAUAAUCUUUGACAACAAAACCAAAGAUAUAGCAUACUACAUAUCAUGCUUCAAGGAACACUUCAACACCAUAAUCAAAAAGACUAAGCCAAGUCUUAAGGAGGGAAUGCAAGCAUGGCUAGACACUUUGUAA
rnacentral:rRNA from 1 species